CUUCCUGCUCUCUGCUCUGCAGUCACCAUGUGACCUAGGAAGAGGACACCAGCGGAAAGCAUUCUCCAUAAGUCAGGAGACUAUGCCUGGUACCAGAAACACCUUGGCACUCCUCUCAUCAAGACAUGUUAACUACUUUCGGCUCCUUGAAUCUGGCCUCUGUGAGACUCUGCUGCAAAACAGAAUGAGGAGGAACUUUGGGGUCCAGGCCCUGUGGUCCUUAAGCCCCACCCUUUACUGAUUCUCUAUGACUGUCAUCUCAGUUCUUCUGUAAGAUGGAGGUAACAAUGCCAACCCCACAGGCAUAGAGGAGACCAGGUGAGAUGUAAUCUAAUAACUGACUAAUUCUAGUAGCUCAAUCAACACUGAAAUUCAGAGCUUUAAAGGGCUGGGGUUUUGUUUUGUUUUGUUUUUUUCGAAGUAGGUUAUUGCAUACAGAAAUGGGCUUCAUUGUGACAUUUUCACACAUUCAUAUCUUUAUGGUUUGCUCCCAUUGCUAGUGCCCCCACCCUCCCCAUCUCACCUCCCAGAAAAGUUCUCUGCUCCACUCAAAGUAUAUACACCUUCCAUUACCUUCUCUUAUCCCCCCUGCUCCCUUUAGACCUAACUAUCCCCACCCCAGUGGUCCCUUUCCACCUGCAUGUCAUAUAUAUGAUGCUCAGAUUUAAGUUGGCUUUCUAUGUAUGAGAGGAAUCCUGGUGUUUGAGUCUGACUUGUUUCAUUUAACAUAAUGAUAUCCAGUUCCAUCCACUUUCCUGCAAAAGUCAUGAUUUCAUUUCUUUGCAGCUGAAUAAAAUUGUAUUUUGCACGUUUUCCCUG
rnacentral:lncRNA from 1 species